GAAUAUUGGUCAAUGGAUGAAAGUCUGAACCAGCCAUGCCGCGUGCAGGAAGACGGCCUUCUGGGUUGUAAACUGCUUUUGUCAGGGGAUAAAAUGCCCAUGCGUGGGCCAUUGAAGGUACCUGACGAAUAAGCCACGGCUAACUACGUGCCAGCAGCCGCGGUAAUACAGAGGGUGCGAGCGUUGUCCGGAAUCACUGGGCGUAAAGGGCGCGUAGGCGGCUUGAUAAGUAGGGGGUGAAAUCUUGCGGCUCAACUGCAAGGCUGCCUCCUAAACUGUCAGGCUUGAGCACAGUAGAGGCAGGUGGAAUUCCCGGUGUAGCGGUGGAAUGCGUAGAGAUCGGGAAGAACAUCGGUGGCGAAGGCGGCCUGCUGGGCUGUUGCUGACGCUGAGGCGCGACAGCGUGGGGAGCAAAC
rnacentral:rRNA from 1 species